rnacentral:rRNA from 1 species
UUAACCGAAUAGGGGAGCCGAAGGGAAACCGAGUCUUAACCGGGCGUUAAGUUGCAGGGUAUAGACCCGAAACCCGGUGAUCUAGCCAUGGGCAGGUUGAAGGUUGGGUAACACUAACUGGAGGACCGAACCGACUAAUGUUGAAAAAUUAGCGGAUGACUUGUGGCUGGGGGUGAAAGGCCAAUCAAACCGGGAGAUAGCUGGUUCUCCCCGAAAGCUAUUUAGGUAGCGCCUCGUGAAUUCAUCUCCGGGGGUAGAGCACUGUUUCGGCAAGGGGGUCAUCCCGACUUACCAACCCGAUGCAAACUGCGAAUACCGGAGAAUGUUAUCACGGGAGACACACGGCGGGUGCUAACGUCCGUCGUGAAGAGGGAAACAACCCAGACCGCCAGCUAAGGUCCCAAAGUCAUGGUUAAGUGGGAAACGAUGUGGGAAGGCCCAGACAGCCAGGAUGUUGGCUUAGAAGCAGCCAUCAUUUAAAGAAAGCGUAAUAGCUCACUGGUCGAGUCGGCCUGCGCGGAAGAUGUAACGGGGCUAAACCAUGCACCGAAGCUGCGGCAGCGACACUGUGUGUUGUUGGGUAGGGGAGCGU